rnacentral:snRNA from 1 species
UGGUGAGUGUGCCAGAUUCUUUUUAA